rnacentral:rRNA from 1 species
AGAGUUUGAUCAUGACUCAGAACGAACGCUGGCGGCGUGCUUAACACAUGCAAGUCGAACGAGAAAGUUUCCUUCGGGAAGCGAGUAGAGUGGCGCACGGGUGAGUAACGCGUAGGUAAUCUAUCCUUGCAUCUGGAAUAACCCACCGAAAGGUGUGCUAAUACCGGAUACGUUCUUUUGAUCGCGAGAUCUUAAGAAGAAAGGUGGCCUCUGAUAUAAGGGUACCGUGGGGGGAUGAGCAUGCGUACCAUUAGCUAGUUGGUGGGGUAAUGGCCUACCAAGGCUUCGAUGGUUAGCUGGUCUGAGAGGAUGAUCAGCCACACUGGAACUGGAACACGGUCCAGACUCCUACGGGAGGCAGCAGUGGGGAAUAUUGCGCAAUGGGGGAAACCCUGACGCGACGCAGCAACGCCGCGUGAGUGAAGAAGGCCUUCGGGUUGUAAAGCUCUGUCAGUUGGGAAGAAAUCACGGGGUAACCCCUCGUGACUGACGGUACCUUCAAAGGAAGCACUGGCUAACUCCGUGCCAGCAGCCGCGGUAAUACGGAGAGUGCAAGCGUUGUUCGGAAUUACUGGGCGUAAAGAGCGCGUAGGCGGCCUAUUAAGUCAGGUGUGAAAUCCCACGGCUCAACCGUGGACGUGCAUCUGAAACUGAUAGGCUUGAGUAUGGGAGAGGAAAGUGGAAUUCCCGGUGUAGAGGUGAAAUUCGUAGAUAUCGGGAGGAACACCAGUGGCGAAGGCGACUUUCUGGACCAAUACUGACGCUGAGGCGCGAAAGCGUGGGGAGCAAACAGGAUUAGAUACCCUGGUAGUCCACAGCUGUAAACGAUGUACACUAGGUGUUAGGGGGUGUUGACCCCUCCAGCGCCGCAGCUAACGCAUUAAGUGUACCGCCUGGGGAGUACGGUCGCAAGAUUAAAACUCAAAGGAAUUGACGGGGACCCGCACAAGCGGUGGAUUAUGUGGAUUAAUUCGAUGCAACGCGAAAAACCUUACCUGGUCUUGACAUCCUACGAAUAUCUUGGAAACAAGAGAAGUGCCUCCAUUAGGAGGAACUUGGUGACAGGUGCUGCAUGGCUGUCGUCAGCUCGUGUCGUGAGAUGUUGGGUUAAGUCCCGCAACGAGCGCAACCCUCGCCUUUAGUUGCCAUCAGGUUAAGCUGGGCACUCUAGAGGGACUGCCGGUGUUAAACCGGAGGAAGGUGGGGAUGACGUCAAGUCCUCAUGGCCUUUAUAUCCAGGGCUACACACGUACUACAAUGGUCGGUACAAAGGGCAGCCACUUCGCGAGAAGGAGCUAAUCUCUUAAAGCCGGUCCCAGUCCGGAUCGGAGUCUGCAACUCGACUCCGUGAAGUUGGAAUCGCUAGUAAUCGUGGAUCAGCAUGCCACGGUGAAUACGUUCCCGGGCCUUGUACACACCGCCCGUCACACCACGAAAGUCGGUUGUACCAGAAGACGUUGGGCUAACCUUAGGGAGGCAGGCGUCCAAGGUAUGAUCGGUAAUUGGGGUGAAGUCGUAACAAGGUA